GUUUUAUUAACAUGUAAAUAUCGUAACAACGACGUCUCAUUGUGUUGACUGAAGGAACGUAGCACAGCAGCUGAAAUCAAAGACACUGUUCAAUUGUGUAAAAUGUAUGUUACAUUAAAAAAAACCCUCAUCAGUUCAGAAUUGAUAAAGAUGGUCAAACUUUUUAUGUACAUUACUGAAAAGGAAGGCACAGUACAAGAUUCGCUACGCUGCUUCUGCCUGUUGUUGACAAUAGUGUCUCAUUCAGAUGAAACUGCAACAUUCAUUUAGUGAAGAAGAGACCAACAUUCAUUUACUGAAGAAGAGACUGAAACACGAUUUGCAUUUGGAUAACACUUCAUUGUGGAUUGUGCAGAAAUGAAUGUACUACUCAACAGGCUUGUCUUUCAAUAGGCUUUCAGCAGAAUUGAAAAAGAAAUAAAUGAUUACCACAAGUUUUCAAUCUAAGUUGAAAGUCUUCUUUGUGGUACACUCCUCAAAACUGCAUAGUAAUGAACCAUAUAAAAUAAAGUAUUAGUGUAAUCCUAACACUAAGAGCUAGUGUGACAAAUUGACAUCAUUCAAGAUAUUUCUAUUCUGUACAGAUGUCCUUACAGUAGUUCAGAACACUUGUCUGUAACGUAUUUAUUUGUAUACUGUUCAUAUUUCUUCUUAUUUUAUUAAUUCUUUAAUUUAUUUUGUUUAUAAAUUUUCCAAUCUGCAUUGUUUAAACUGUGUAUUCACUCAUUUGAUUACAUAAUAACUUUAGUUUGCAUUGUUCCACAGACUAUGAUAAAUUAAUAAAUAAUUGUUUUAGACACAAUAAGAAACAUUCUUAGAUUAUUUUGAUCUUUCCCAGUAUUAGUUGUUGUCAAGACUCAUGCUUGGUUUGUGUCACUAUUUGUUUCAGUCUCCCAUGACCUUGUAUCAAAUCAAGUUAAUUCUCUCUGUGAAACUCCAGUCACUAGUAUUUCCCACUCUGUUUUCUCAUUUCCAUUGUCAACUCAUUUUCUCACAUUUUUUAUUUUUAACUCUUUGUGACAUAACUUUUUGGAAAUCUAACAUCAAAUUUCUCGAGAAAGAGGUAUUAAAAUUAACCAGUUUUAACACCAUCCACAAUCAAACGCUGCACUCCACAUCAUAGUAACAUACUGUGAAUAUGAUCCAUGUAACAUGCAAUUAAUUAACUAUCCAAAACAUGACUGGUUAACCUUUUCCCAGUGGAGCUGUUACAGAUGUGGUAUGUUACUAAAUUACUAGUAGCAAGUUUUAGAGUUGUCAUUUCACCAGAAUUGUCAGAUAUACUGUUUAUUAUAGCCCACUGUUUAUAGUUUAGAGUAUGUAUCGUAUACAAAUAGUGUGAUAAUGGUAGUGGCAGCAACUACUUUUGAUGUCAAAUAGUCAUGCAAAUAUUGUUGGCGUGGGAAGUAAUUUAAAAGUAGCAAUUGAAUUGUAACUGCCAGUAGUUGCUACAAGCUGAUAAAAAUAAAUGUUAAAAAUCUUAACUUACAAUUAUCUUACUGAAAUAUUAAAUUUCUCUUACAACUUUUUACAGCUGCCCAAAGGACUUUCAUAUGUUUGAACUUUCAGAUGUUUUCUGUUUGUGACAUAUGAAAUUCUAUGGUUGUGGAAGAUUGCCUUUCUGGUUCAAAUUAUUUGAAUGAUAUACAGUCAAAGGAGCUAAAUGUAGUGUUUAUAAUUAGCUGAGGCUUAAAAGCUAAGUGUUUAUGUGCCUCUUUUCACUGCAUUGCAAAAUGAAUCUGCUCUGAGGUCUAGAAAAAAGUGAGACUAAGUGAAUGAUAUAGUGAUAGCAUUAGGCCUUUUGCUGAUGAACCACAUAAGUAGCUUCUUCCAUUUUGCAUUUAAAUUGUAGUCAUUAUUAUCUGAUGUUUCCAAAUUUGUGGCAUUGCAUUAAUCACUUGCCUAGGAGAUACUCUCAUUCUCAUCAACAAUUUUCUGCACUCUGCAUUUCAUGUGUUCAACAUAAUGUAUCC